rnacentral:rRNA from 1 species
GAGCGCCGUAGCAAUACGGAGCGGCAGACGGGAGAGUAACACGUGGGAACGUGCCCUUUGGUCCGGAACAACCCAGGGAAACUUGGGCUAAUACCGGAUAAGUCCGUAAGGAGAAAGAUUUAUCGCCAAAGGAUCGGCCCGCGUCUGAUUAGCUAGUUGGUGAGAUAACGGCUCACCAAGGCGACGAUCAGUAGCUGGUCUGAGAGGAUGAUCAGCCUCACUGGGACUGAGACACGGCCCAGACUCCUACGGGAGGCAGCAGUGGGGAAUAUUGGACAAUGGGCGCAAGCCUGAUCCAGCCAUGCCGCGUGGAUGAUGAAGGCCCUAGGGUUGUAAAGUCCUUUCGGCGGGGAAGAUAAUGACGGUACCCGCAGAAGAAGCCCCGGCUAACUUCGUGCCAGCAGCCGCGGUAAUACGAAGGGGGCUAGC